AUCUACAGCCAUGCCACCCUAAACGAGCCCGAUCCCAUCUGAUCUCAGAAGCUAAAGCAGGGUUGGGCCUGGUUAGUACUUGGAUGGGAGACCACCUAGGAAGACCAGGUGCUAUAGGUG
rnacentral:rRNA from 1 species